UUGCAGCCAGUUAAGCAGACUGUGCUCUUUUCUCCAUGGGGGCCUGGUGUGCAAUGGCUGCAAACAGCACCCUCCUCGGUAGUGUAUGCAACCUGUUGCCUGUACCGCUUGCCCUAAGGGAACUUGGAGACAGCU
rnacentral:snoRNA from 1 species